ensembl:misc_RNA
UGUGUGUGUUUUCUGUGAUGAAGCAUGUAUGUCCCUGGAAAAGCUGUUAAGUCUAGAUGCUUUUAUGGGAGCUGCAAGUGGCUCAGGCCUCCCUGUGAGGUAGCCAAGGGUCUAGGAUUCUGUUCAUAACACCCAUCCCCCAGGCCUAUGGGAACCAGAAUCUGGUGAAAAAAUAUUCUGUGUUGCUCUUGGAUAACUCCUUGGUAUGUGCUUUUCGAUAUUCUGUUCUAGUCGAUAUUCGAAUAAGUGGUUGUGUUUUGUG